GGGUCGGUAGCUCAGUGGUAGAGCAUCGGACUUUUAAUCCGUUGGUCGAGGGUUCGAUCCCCUCCCGACCCACCA
rnacentral:tRNA from 1 species